rnacentral:rRNA from 1 species
AACGGAAAGGCCCUGCUUGCAGGGUACUCGAGUGGCGAACGGGUGAGUAACACGUGGGUGAUCUGCCCUGCACUUCGGGAUAAGCUUGGGAAACUGGGUCUAAUACCGGAUAGGACCGCACUUUAGUGUGUGUGGUGGAAAGUUUUUUCGGUGUAGGAUGAGCUCGCGGCCUAUCAGCUUGUUGGUGGGGUAAUGGCCUACCAAGGCGGCGACGGGUAGCCGGCCUGAGAGGGUGUACGGCCACAUUGGGACUGAGAUACGGCCCAGACUCCUACGGGAGGCAGCAGUGGGGAAUAUUGCACAAUG